rnacentral:rRNA from 1 species
GUGCCAGACUCCUACGGGAGGCAGCAGUGGGGAAUAUUGGACAAUGGGGGGAACCCUGAUCCAGCGACGCCGCGUGAGUGAAGAAGUAUUUCGGUAUGUAAAGCUCUAUCAGCAGGGAAGAAAGAAAUGACGGUACCUGACUAAGAAGCCCCGGCUAACUCCGUGCCAGCAGCCGCGGUAAUACGGAGGAUGCGAGCGUUAUCCGGAUUCAUUGGGUUUAAAGGGUGCGCAGGCGGGCCUUUAAGCCGGCGGGGAAACUGGGGGGCCCAACCCCCGCCGAGCCGUCGGAACUGGGGGCCUUGAGUGCGGCGGAGGCAUGCGGAAUGCGCGGUGUAGCGGUGAAAUGCAUAGAUAUCGCGCAGAACCCCGAUUGCGAAGGCAGCGUGCCGUGCCGCCACUGACGCUGAGGCACGAAAGCGCGGGGAUCGAACAGGAUUAGAUACCCCCGUA